rnacentral:tRNA from 1 species
CGGGGUAUCGUAUAGUGGUAGUACGCAUGGCUGGGGGUCAUGUAGUUCUGGUUCGAUUCCGGAUACCCCGACCA